rnacentral:rRNA from 1 species
UACGUAGGGUGCAAGCGUUGUCCGGAAUUAUUGGGCGUAAAGAGCUCGUAGGCGGUUUGUCGCGUCUGCUGUGAAAACGCGGGGCUCAACUCCGCGCCUGCAGUGGGUACGGGCAGACUAGAGUGCAGUAGGGGAGACUGGAAUUCCUGGUGUAGCGGUGGAAUGCGCAGAUAUCAGGAGGAACACCGGUGGCGAAGGCGGGUCUCUGGGCUGUAACUGACGCUGAGGCGCGAAAGCUAGGGGAGCAAACGGG